AAGGAUCAUAUUGAAUUUAUUAAUGAGGAGUUGAGUUGUAGCUGGCCUUUUAACAUUGGCAUGUGCACACUCUUCUCUUUCAUCCACACACCCCUGUGCACUUGUGAGACAGUCAAGGUCCUUUGGGGUUGGGGGGCAGAGCUUUAUUGCAAAACCCUUUUUCCCCUUUUGCCUUUGCUGUCUACUCAAUUUAUACACACUCUAAUUAAUUUUAAAACGAAUGUAAUUGAUGUAACGCAUCUAAUACU
rnacentral:misc_RNA from 1 species